GAGAGGAGAGACAGUAGACAGACGGUAGUAACGGAGAGGAGAGACAGUAGACAGACAGUAGUAACGGAGAGGAGAGACAGUAGACAGACGGUAGUAACGGAGAGGAGAGACAGGAGACAGACGGUAGUAACGGAAAGACAGUAGACAGACAGUAGUAACGGAGAGACAAGACUGUAGACAGACGGUAGUAACGGAGAGGAGAGUCAGUAGACAGACGGUAGUAACGGAGAGGGGAGCGACAGUAGACAGACAGUAGUAACGGAGAGGGGAGCGACAGGAGACAGACGGUAGUAACGGAGAGGAGAGAGACAGUAGACAGACGGUAGUAACGGAGAGGAGAGAGACAGUAGACAGACGGUAGUAACGGAGAGGAGAGAGACAGUAGACAGACGGUAGUAAUGGAGAGGGGAGCGACAGAAGUAACAGAGAGGAGAGAGACAGUAGACAGACGGUAGUAACAGAGAGGGGAGUCAGUAGACAGACGGUAGUUACAGAGAGGAGAGUCAGUAGACAGACGGUAGUAACGGAGAGGGGAGAUAACAGACAGACGGUAGUAACGGAGAGGAGAGACAGUAGACAGACGGUAGUAACGGAGAGGAGAGAGACAGUAGACAGACGGUAGUAACGGAGAGGAGAGAGACAGU
ensembl:lncRNA